GCCUGGAUAGCUCAGUCGGUAGAGCAUCAGACUUUUAAUCUGAGGGAGGGUUCAGUCCCUGUUUGGGCG
rnacentral:tRNA from 1 species